GACGGAGGUGUUUAACGGUGUGCGGGAUGACCGGGCGUAAAGUGCGUGUAGGCGAGUGAUCAAGUCAGACGUGACAGCCUUUGGCUUAACACAAGAACUGCGUUUGAGACUGGUUGACUUGAGGACGAGAUAGGAAAGUAGAAUUUCGAGUGUAGAGGUGAAAUUCGCAGAUAUUCGGAGGAAUACCAGAGGCGAAGGCGACUUUCUGGCUCGUUUCUAACGCUGAGGUGUGAAAGCGUGGGGAGCAAACAGG
rnacentral:rRNA from 1 species